ACAACAGAAAAACAAAGAUGGCUAAAAUAAUGUAAACACUUUAGCAUUAAUGCACAGACAACAGGGAGAAAACAAGCGCAACAGCCACAAAUGUAGAAGGUAAUUUUGACCCCCUUAGUGCUGUGGGCAGCUUCCAAAUGCCUGCUGAACUUGUGGCAUGUUUUGGGAAUUAUACAGCCUGAGCCUCAGUCAGAUUCCUUACUGCACACUGGACCAAUUUCCGUAUCAGAGAUGAAGUAAAACUUAGAAGCGUAGAGGGACCAUCAAGUGACAAGAAGUUGCAUAUUAAUGUGCCUAAGGGCAAAUCUGCCAUGACAGAGUGUAUAUACAAACUAAGAUGGCUACCGUGGUACUAAGCCAGGGAGAGCUCACAGGAUGGCCACCAGUUAGAAAUGUUACCAAAAGCAGCACUGCUCAGAGAAUUGCCCCCAAGUCAAAAAGCAAACAGCCCAUGAGUUCUUCCAGAACUAUGAAAAAGCUGGCCUCAGCCAGUCUCUCAAAACUUCCCCACCAUCCCAAGCCACACGAGGGACUUGCUAAAAUUCACCUGGUGCACACCAGUGCUCAAAACUCCUCAUGGGUCUUUGGUACCUAUGGUAUAUGGAGUAUACAUUUUUAACAGUUCACUCAGGGUGAGGAAAGUAAGGGGCCUACUGUUCAAGCAGUAAGCAGCCUCUCCACCCAGAACAGGUACCACCUCCAACUUCAGACUCUAGGGGCUUCUUGUCCCACUCUGGGGCACUCAGGGCACUUUGAAGUGUGUCCAGUCCCUGUGGUUUAUUUUCUCUUACACCUGUGACUUUCCCAACACCAGUACACGACUUGUCUUUCCUCCCAUUCUUCCACUGUCUACCAUGCUAUGUAAUCACUACCGACUGAACUAAAUCCCCCUAGAAACCUGCCUCUGCCUCCUGAGUGAUGGAUGGAUGGGGUUAAAGGCAUAGCCUCAUGCCCGGCCCAACGGCCUUAAAUGUCUGUCCUCUGCAGAGUCUUGUACUACUCAACUUCCUCUAGAAGACUUUCAUGAUUAGCUGUCAUCUGCUUUAGCUCGACUUUCGACUUUCCAGUUUGCCACAGGGCACAUGACAGGUGCUUAAUCAAUACGUGUGACAAGCAGGGAAUGUUGAUGGUCAGGGAAGCGGAUAGAGGGAGACUGGGGGAAAAUGAUGAAAGGGCAGGUAUUGCGCCUCUGGCUCUGUCCUGUGCAGCCUAAACAUCUCCCCUCUGAGGGAAGGGCUCUCUCAUUCUGGAGAGAAGCGUUCCACUUCCCGCUGUCCCCGGUUAACGGCCCACUUUUCCUGGGCCCCGAGCCUCCUGAUUCAGAGCAAAGUCACAGUCUUCCCCAGAGCAGGAGGUUCCUGAAAACUUGGAAGUGGCACGGGGACUCAGCAGAGCUGGCCGGGAUGACCUCCGAGUAGCCUACCCCUGCAGUUCCCCUAACCCUGGCGAGGUCUCUCAAACUCUGGGGCCCCUCGCGGCCUCCCUGUCCCCGCUCCGCGCCCACCUGGCCUGCAAGAACGCGACACCGGGGCCGCCAGCCGCUCCGGGGAGCUGCCGCCUCCGCGCCGCCGCCUCCAUGGCCGCCACGCUCGGCCUCGCCUUCCGGGAGGAGAGACGGAUGCGCGUGCCGCGCGGAGCCUCGGCGCCUAGCGCGGGGAAGGCUGGGCGGGAGGAAGGAAGCCUUGCCUAGCCGGGCUUGAGAGUACUGAAUGGAGGUGAACCUGGGAUCCAGAAUGAUCAAGCUGUGAGGUCAUCAAAAGAUCUGGGGUCUAUGAGUCCUUUAAAUUGUACUGGAAGCACUCCUUCCUCGAAUUAAAGACUGAGCAAUCAACUAUCACCUGUACUUUGAUGGGUGAAGAGUACAGCGAAUUCUCUCCUAGUUGGGGGGCAGUGAGAUGAUCCAGAAUCCAGUCCUGGCUUUGUCAUUCGGGCUUGGCUUGCAAUGACCCACCCCUCGAACUCCCACACCCUGUCCAAAGGCUGGCUAGUAUGGAAGAAAGGAUCAGAAAGAAGAACACUGCUCAGGGAAAUGAGUGACUGAUGCUGGCAUGGGGAGGAACAAGUUUAGACUGGACCCCUCCAUCCCUGAGAACCUCAGGAAGCAGCUCAGGAAGGGCACUGGCAGGAGACUGGCAUAUGUGUGCAUUACAGUCUCAGCCCAUCCACAGGUGGGGGAGAAGAGGCAGAACUGAAGAUGGAGGAGGGGCAGCCUGUAGGGAGGGCUCCAAGCUCUAAUGAAGGUCUCGGACUAUAACAGUAAGCAGGGAGGGGGGCACAUGCACAGUGGUGUGGGAGUAUCUUUUUUGGAUGCAUGGCUGUAAGGGGAGAGGAGUUUAAGUGUGACCACGUUCUGCAUCUAAGGGGGUGGAGCAAGUACAGGGUAAAUGAGACGUCAUUUUUGGGAACAUGAACCUUGGGUUGGGUCAGGAUGCUGCCGGACCCAUGGUUCUGAAGCUCAGUCAACACAUUGGUGGGAGCCUGGCAGAACAUAGAACCCAAGAAGACAAUCUCCCUCUGAGAAAAGAGAACAGAAACCAAACAUGAGAAGUACCUGCAAGGCACGCUGUCUGAGGACCAGUCUAGCUGUGGCUCAGAUAAAUUGCUCAGCCCCUCCCAGACUCAGUUUACUCCUCUGUAACAAAGGGAAAGCUGUUUCCCCUAUCGCUUUGAGAGUACGGUGGUUAAAGAAAUGCACGAGCCUCUUGCA
rnacentral:sRNA from 1 species